CUAGGAAUUGCUGCGUCAUAUGGUAACUCAGUGUUUUACCUUUUAAGAAACUGCUAAAUUGUUUUACACAGUGACUUCACCAUUUUAAUUGCUACUAGUAGU
rnacentral:pre_miRNA from 1 species